rnacentral:rRNA from 1 species
UACGUAGGGGGCUAGCGUUGUCCGGAAUCAUUGGGCGUAAAGCGCGUGUAGGCGGCCCGGUAAGUCCGCUGUGAAAGUCUAGGGCUCAACCCUGGGAUGCCGGUGGAUACUGUCGGGCUCGAGUCCGGAAGAGGCGAGUGGAAUUCCUGGUGUAGCGGUGAAAUGCGCAGAUAUCAGGAGGAACACCAAUGGCGAAGGCAGCUCGCUGGGCCUGUACUGACGCUGAGGAGCGAAAGCGUGGGGAGCGAACAGG